UACGUAGGGUGCAAGCGUUGUCCGGAAUUAUUGGGCGUAAAGAGCUCGUAGGCGGCUUGUCACGUCGGGUGUGAAAGCCCGGGGCUUAACCCCGGGUCUGCAUUCGAUACGGGCUAGCUAGAGUGUGGUAGGGGAGAUCGGAAUUCCUGGUGUAGCGGUGGAAUGCGCAGAUAUCAGGAGGAACACCGAUGGCGAAGGCAGGUCUCUGGGCCAUUACUGACACUGAGAAGCGAAAGCAUGGGGAGCGAACAGG
rnacentral:rRNA from 1 species